UACAGAGGUCUCAAGCGUUGUUCGGAUUCAUUGGGCGUAAAGGGUGCGUAGGUGGCAUGGUAAGUCGGAUGUGAAAUCCCGGGGCUCAACCCCGGAACUGCAUUCGAUACUGCCGCGCUAGAGUACUGGAGAGGAGAUUGGAAUUUACGGUGUAGCAGUGAAAUGCGUAGAUAUCGUAAGGAAGACCAGUGGCGAAGGCGGAUUUCUGGACAGUUACUGACACUGAGGCACGAAGGCCAGGGGAGCAAACGGG
rnacentral:rRNA from 1 species